GAUGAACGCUGGCGGCGUGCUUAACACAUGCAAGUCGAACGGAAAGGCCCAAUCUUGCUUGGGUACUCGAGUGGCGAACGGGUGAGUAACACGUGGGUGAUCUGCCCCGCACUUCGGGAUAAGCCUGGGAAACUGGGUCUAAUACCGGAUAGGACAUUGGUUUGCCUGCCAUUGUGGAAAGUUUUUUCGUUGUGGGAUGAGCUCGCGGCCUAUCAGCUUGUUGGUGGGGUAAUGGCCUACCAAGGCGUCGACGGGUAGCCGGCCUGAGAGGGUGUACGGCAACAGUGGGACUGAGAGACGGCCCAGACUCCUACGGGAGGCAGCAGUGGGGAAGAUUGAAAAAUGGACGAAAGCAGGAUGCAGCAACGCCGCGUGGGGGAUGACGGCCUUCGGGUUGUAAACUCCUUUCGCUAGGGACGAAGCGUUAUGUGACGGUACCUAGAGAAGAAGCACCGGCUAACUACGUG
rnacentral:rRNA from 1 species